rnacentral:tRNA from 1 species
UGGGGCGAUGGCCGUUGGUGGGGCGCGAAUUCGAGCUUCAGGUGUUCGAUGAGCUCGUGCGGGACCCGGCGAGCAGGGGGUUCUUCAUCUUCGGCCCCGC